AGCCUGGCUUCUGGUCCUACCCUCCAUUAAAAUAGCAAUCAUGAAAGUCACCAAUGCCCCUCAUGUUGUGAAUUCCUGAGUGUUUUAGAGCGUGGAGAUGACAAAUUACACUUGCAUUUCACUUAACAGGAUUCAACUAUAUGUGUCCAGAAAAAGGAAAGAUGAAGUGAAAGAAUGAAGAAAAAAAUGAUAUGCUGCUCCCUGGAAUCAUGUUCCUGGCUCCUGGUAGUCCCUGACUUUACCUGUCUGUUCCAGGAACCUGCUUUAAGGCCAUUUGUUCUGAUGAUCAGUUUGGACAACCACCCUUUAUUCCACCACCUCAGACCAUAUUCAACAUCCUGGAACCAUCAUAGCACCAACAGCACUAAACUUUAGAAAGAAACUGAGCCGGUCUCAACUCAUCUGCAAACUGAGGGCUUGAACCAUUGUCACAGCCUCCUGCAAUUCUUGGGAAUGGUAGAGAUAUAUAUCUGCUAUUACUCUUUAGACUCAACGGAGAAGAGUUACUGAAACUGACAGCCUAGAGAAACUGACAGCCUACCUCACUUCACCCUCAACCGUUGAAGAGGGAAGCCAAUAAUACAAACGGAGAGCCCAUUGCAAUUUGCCAGACUGCAGUGCUUGAUGUUGAGAUCAGCCAGAAUCUCCAGAUACAAAACACAGGGAACCAGGGAACCAGAUAUCAGCUCAAGGAAGGACGAGUUUUCUUAAAAUUCACAGUGGCCCAAAUUUGGACCAUCGGUAACAACUGCAUGUUCUCACUGAAUGUAAGUAGUGGGCUGAGGCCAAAGCAGGACCACCACCACAGUCUGAAGAGUCCCUUAAGACAUUCUCUUAUUGGGUGGGGUUGGGAUGAAGUGAUCUCACAUUUCUGUUUUAAUCCUUAGUUCCUAAAAUUCUACACAUCUUUCUUGGGUGAAUGGAACAGACCAGCCUACAAAACACAGAUCCAUUUCAUUGUCUUCUAGGUUUCACCCAUUAUUUAGUUAUGAGAUGGCAUGAGGUCCAGAGGAGGGUGGAAGCUCAUGUGAGCAUCAUUAGUGAGGGUAGAAGACUCGCUGUCUGCACACCCUGGGCUGUGUGGUUCUCAGAAUGAGCCACCUGGAAGGUCGAUCCAAGCACAUGAAGAUUGGCUUUUCUGGUGUCAAGAGUAUCCUCUUUACUUUGGGUCUCCGGCAGGCCCUUAUUCCCUUUAAGGAUUUGGAGGUCAGGACACUUUUGGAAGUGCCUGAAUUAUUGACAAAAUCUGUCCUUUUAUUCUUGUUUUUGCUUGAUGCUACUACGUCUGUCUCUGACUUCUGCUGAAAAGCUAGUUAUGCAUUUCAUUGAUCAUUCCUUGUGUAGAGACCUGUAUUGGCUUUAUUAACAAUGUGUUUAUGGCCUUUAGUUUCUUCCUUAUGGGAAAGAGGGACUCCAACUUCUAUCAGCAUUUAAAUAUAGGGACAUUCUGCUGUAUUAUCUCUCUCCUUCAUGGUAAAAAAAAAAAGGGGUGUUGAAGGGUUUGUAGGAAUUCAUUAGUUUUCCACAAUAAAAAUUAUUUGAAAAUUACAGGCUGUGGUAGAAGCAGGUAUGGAGUUCCUUACAAGAUACCUCUAAGAGGGGUGUGUGUGUGUGUGUGUGUGUGUGUGUGUGUGUGUAUGUAUGUUGAGAUGAGUGGUUUCAGGCAUCCAUUGAAGUUACAUUUUUGUGUGUGCUACAGACAUUACAAAGCCAUCUCUUAGUUUCCUUUAUUUACAAACCAGGAACUUCAGCUGUUUUAUUAAAGACUGGAUGUGAACGCUGAGGUGCUUUGCCAACACAGACAUCAAAGGGACACAAGUGCACUUUUCCCAUAUGUUUUAGUUCGUUUUUCCCUGCAUGUCUGAUAUCAGUCAGAGAGAGUGCUAGAAUAUAAUACCUCACACCUUGAAGAUUAAACACCUUCUCAGCUGGUAUUUCUGUUUUGACUUCAUUUGCUGCCACGUUAUAUCAUAAGCACCUUGCACCAUGUCAUAGACGCUCUUGGUUCUGUCUGUGCAAUGAGAUUGUGUUUUUCAAAAGCGUUUUUUUUCUGCAAGUAAGUAAACUCUGCCUGAUCUUUGACACGAGCUUAGUCACUGAAUGAAUAGCUUCGUUGGACAACGAGGUAAGAUGAUAAUAGAGUCUAUAAUAGUGAUGCCAAUCACAGCGGGCAGGAAGGCUGUUCUUCUUAGACUGCUGUAUUUGUUAUUCUUAGACUGCUGUAUUUGUAAAUCAUGCUACAUUUCCCAUGGCUUAAUCUCAAAAUGCCACCUUGUCGGUGAUCGAGGUUUAUAUUUUAAGCUCCCCCAAAAAAAUAUUCCAGAAAGAACAUCCUACUCUUCUUUACUGUGUAAUAAAUAAGUUCCAGGAAGGACUCACAUCAUCUCAGGAAUUACCCAGGGGGCAUUUUUACUUCUUCACCUGGCCCUGUAACAGGCAGGCAGUUGUCACAUUCACUUAUACGUAAAAUGAUUCUUCCUUGUAUUGAAGGUUAUAUAUUUAUUUGCUGUAGUUUUAUUUUUACCUAAAUUGGAAGCACAUAUUCUGUUGUGGGCCGGGGAGUUGGAGUAUGGAAGCUCGGGGGUUCGGGGACAGGCCUGUUAGGAGGAAGCAGCAAGUCUAAGGACCAAUUAGAGGUGAGACAUCAGACCUUAGACUUGGAGGUACGUAUUAAAAGGAUAAAAACAAACAAGAAAGUGUUUCUAAACAUUCUUAACUUCUUGGAUUUGGUAUCUUCUUAAGGGCAAAACACUAAGGCAUAGAAAAAUCAGAAUUCAUGUUUCGUUUGUGUUAUAUCUUCAGAAAAGUUUUAUGUUUUUAUCUCAGAAAGUGGCUUCUCAAAUUUUGGUUUUAAAAUUUUCUGUCUACUUCCAUGUCCCUUCUCUAUACAUCCCUGUGACUAAAAAGCAGAAUAUGUGCCACUGUGUAGCUAGAAUAACAAAGGAACUGUGGAAUGUUCCUCUGUAAAGAAAUGGCCUAUUUCAGCCAUGUUCCUAUAGUCUAUGGUCUGAGUGCAGUGUCCUCUCCAGAUUCAGUGUUAAAAUCCUAACCUUCAAACUGAUAGAAGUAGGUGGUGGGGCCUUUGGGAGGAAUUAGGUCACGGGGGCAGAGCCCUCAUGGUUGGGAUUAGUGCCUUAAUAACAGAGGCACAAGAGACAACCCACUACCCUUCCGUUAUGUGAACACACAGUGAGAAGGCACUGUCUAUAAACCACAAAGCAGGCUCUCAUUAGACACAGAAUCUGCUGGUGCCCUGAUCUUAGACUUCCCAGGUUCCAGAGCUAUGAGAAAUAAAUUUCUGUUGUUUAUAAGCUAUUCAAUUUAUAGUAUUUUGUUACAGCAGCGUGAGCAGACUAACACGCUAUGUAAGGGCUGACUAUGAGAAUGAGACUCUAAAAGCUAGGAAUGGUAGCUUUAUAAAUUACCACUUAAAUGAGUACUAGCAUUUAAAAGGAAAUUUUAAUGAGGUGGUAAAGAAACUAUCAUCAAAUUUAGACUUAGAACAUCAGAUUAUUUUGCUCAAUCAUUGUGGUUUAAAGAAAAACAAAAUAAGCCUCAGAGAAAUUGCAAAUUGUGUCACAAGUUUUGUUGAACAAGUAAAAUCCUGGUCUCUUGAAUACCAUUCCUGGACUUAGUUGAGUACACUUGAUAUCUCCUUUAAUGCAACUAUUCAUGCCCAAAUCUACCUAUUUUGUAAUAGAUAAAAGAUUUUUUCAAACCAGAAAAAUGCCUUUAAUCACAAAUUGUUAGUUGUAAUAAGGUAGCAACUAAAAUCUAAUACAUGAUUGUUUUCUCUAUCAAAAAGAGUUCUGAAAGGUUAAACUGAUAUGAAAGAAUAGCAUAUUAUAAGAUGUUUUAUUUUAUAUUGUAAUUUUUAAUUGUAAAAA